rnacentral:rRNA from 1 species
AUUCCAGCUCCAAGAGCGUAUAUUAAAGUUGUUGCAGUUAAAAAGCUCGUAGUUGGAUUUCUGACAUAAUGCGCUCUGUCCGCUGCCAUACGGUAGUGAGCACUGACGCGCGUUUGUCAUCCUUCUAGAAAACGUUUCUACCAUUUACUUGGCCGGAUUCGCGAUCUAGAUCUUUUACUUUGAAAAAAUUAGAGUGUUUAAAGCAGGCUUAUUGCUAUGAAUACAUUAGCAUGGAAUAAUAAUCUAGGACUUCGGUUCUAUUUUGUUGGUUUCUAGUACUGAUUAAUAGGGAUAGUUGGGGGCAUUAGUACUUAACUGUCAGAGGUGAAAUUCUCCGAUUUGUUAAAGACUAACUUAUGCGAAAGCAUUUGCCAAGGAUGUUUUCAUUG